GACAGAGGGUGCAAACGUUGUUCGGAAUUACUGGGCGUAAAGCGCGUGUAGGCGGCUGCGCAAGUCGGAUGUGAAAUCCCGUGGCUCAACCACGGAAGUGCACCCGAAACUGCGAUAGCUUGAGUCUCGGAGAGGAAGGUGGAAUGCUUGGUGUAGAGGUGAAAUUCGUAGAUAUCAAGCGGAACACCGGUGGCGAAGGCGGCCUUCUGGACGAUGACUGACGCUGAGACGCGAAAGCGUGGGGAGCAAACAGG
rnacentral:rRNA from 1 species